CCUUCGUUGACUGCGAGUGGAUUCAGCAGCAAUUCAUGUUUUGGAAUGUUCUACAAAGUUCAAAACGUGAGUCGCUGCUCUACCCCCUCGCGGGAAA
rnacentral:pre_miRNA from 1 species